CCUACGGGAGGCAGCAGUAGGGAAUAUUGCUCAAUGGGGGAAACCCUGAAGCAGCAACGCCGCGUGGAGGAUGAAGGUUUUCGGAUUGUAAACUCCUUUUGUUAGAGAAGAUAAUGACGGUAUCUAACGAAUAAGCACCGGCUAACUCCGUGCCAGCAGCCGCGGUAAUACGGAGGGUGCAAGCGUUACUCGGAAUCACUGGGCGUAAAGCGCGCGUAGGCGGGAUAGCAAGUCAGAUGUGAAAUCCUAUGGCUUAACCAUAGCACUGCAUUUGACACUGUUAUUCUAGAGUAUGGGAGAGGUAGGUGGAAUGCUUGGUGUAGGGGUAAAAUCCGUAGAGAUCAAGAGGAAUACUCAUUGCGAAGGCGACCUGCUAGAACAUAACUGACGCUGAUGCGCGAAAGCGUGGGGAGCAAACAGGAGUAGAUACCCGAGUAGUC
rnacentral:rRNA from 1 species